GUUAAAGUAGAGGUCACUUCCUAUAAAGAUCACACAGUGGACCUCAGGGUUAAAGUAGAGGUCACUUCCUAUAAAGAUCACACAGUGGACCUCAGGGUUAAAGUAGAGCUGUAGGUCACUUCCUGUAAAGAUCACACAGUGGACCUCAGGGUUAAAGUAGAGCUGUAGGUCAGUUCCUGUAAAGAUCACACAGUGGACCUCAGGGUUAAAGUAGAGCUGUAGGUCACUUCCUAUAAAGAUCACACAGUGGACCUCAGGGUUAAAGUAGAGCUGUAGGUCACUUCCUGUAAAGAUCACACAGUAGACCUCAGGGUUAAAGUAGAGGUCACUUCCUAUAAAGAUCACACAGUGGAUCUCAUGGUUAAAGUAGAGGCGUAGGUAACCUCCUAUAAAGAUCACACAGUGGACCUCAGGGUUAAAGUAGAGCUGUAGGUCACUUCCUGUAAAGAUCACACAGUGGACCUCAGGGUUAAAGUAGAGCUGUAGGUCACUUCCUAUAAAGAUCACACAGUGGACCUCAGGGUUAAAGUAGAGGUCACUUCCUAUAAAGAUCACACAGUGGACCUCAGG